UACACAUACCACACAUGUUCUCCUUACUCUUCCACAUCCCUUCCUCAACCCCACCCGCCUCUCGAUUAGAGGUAAUAUAGUCCUAAAGAUAACAAGCGUCUAGGCUGGACCCGCGCGCCCGCGCGCACGCGCUCCCCUUCAGGACAGGCGGGGGAGGCUUGGGUCUGAGCCCGCUAGGGACUCCAGGUGUGGCGAUAACUCCGUGCUCCGCGUUUUGCAGGCAGCCACGGUGUCGGAGGCGAGGCGAGGAAGGGAGCUGGAAUAACAAAGAACGAUCCUGAAGGCAGCAGAACAGAGCAGGACUGAAGGCCACCAAGGGGAUUUCAACUCUUCAGAAAAAAAUAAAUGACUCACCUUCUCACAAAGAGUAAGAAUCACAGAGGUCAGAUUGUCUCCUCCUGCCCAUCAGGGACAGAGUCCCCCAUCUUUGGCUUGCUCCAUCUGGCAGGGCUCAAAGAAGAUCUGGAGUUGGGGCUUCCCAGAAGUAUCAAAGCCUUC
rnacentral:lncRNA from 1 species